GCAGUCGUACGAGAUUAAACUCAAGUGGCGGACGGGUGAGUAACACGUAAGAAUUUGCCUUUAGGAGGGGGAUAACAGCUGGAAACGACUGCUAAUACCCCAUAUGCUUUCAAGUGAAAUGAAUUUUUUCGCCUAAAGAGAAGCUUGCGGCUGAUUAGCUUGUUGGUGAGGUAAUGGCUCACCAAGGCGACGAUCAGUAUCUGGUUUNGAGAGGACGAUCAGACACACUGGAACUGAGACACGGUCCAGACUCCUACGGGAGGCAGCAGUAGGGAAUUUUCCGCAAUGGGCGAAAGCCUGACGGAGCAAUCUCGCGUGAGGGAUGACGGCCUAUGGGUUGUAAACCUCUUUUUUCAGGGAGGAAUAAAUGACGUGUACCUGAAGAAUAAGCAUCGGCUAACUCCGUGCCAGCAGCCGCGGUAAGACGGAGGAUGCAAGUGUUAUCCGGAAUCACUGGGCGUAAAGCGUCUGUAGGUGGUUUAAUAAGUCAACUGUUAAAUCUUAAAGCUCAACUUUGAAAUCGCAGUCGAAACUAUUAGACUAGAGUAUAGUAGGGGUAAAGGGAAUUUCCAGUGGAGCGGUGAAAUGCGUAGAGAUUGGAAAGAACACCGAUGGCGAANGCACUUUACUGGGCUAUUACUAACACUCAGAGACGAAAGCUAGGGUAGCAAAUGGGAUUAGAUACCCUGGUAGUCC
rnacentral:rRNA from 1 species